UACGGAGGGAGCAAGCGUUGUCCGGAAUCAUUGGGCGUAAAGCGCGCGUAGGUGGCUUCGUAAGUCCGUUGUGAAAGUCAAAGGCUCAACCUUUGAAAGCCGAUGGAUACUGCGGAGCUAGAGUACGGAAGAGGCGAGUGGAAUUCCUGGUGUAGCGGUGGAAUGCGCAGAUAUCAGGAGGAACACCAAUAGCGAAGGCAGCUCGCUGGGACGUUACUGACACUGAGGCGCGAAAGCGUGGGGAGCGGACAGG
rnacentral:rRNA from 1 species